CCUACGGGAGGCAGCAGUGGGGAAUAUUGCACAAUGGGGGAAACCCUGAUGCAGCGACGCCGCGUGAGUGAAGAAGUAUUUCGGUAUUUAAAGCUCUAUCAGCAGGGAAGAAGAAAGACGGUACCUUACUAAGAAGCCCCGGCUAACUACGUGCAAGCAGGCGCGGUAAAACGGAGGGGGCACGCGUUAUCCGGAUUUGCUGGGUGUAAAGGGAGCGUAGACGGGUGUGCAAGUCUGAAGUGAAAGCCCAGGUCUCAACCCUGGGAAUGCUUGGGAAACUGUGGGGCUAGAGUGCUGGAGAGGUAAGUGGAAUUCCUAGUGUAGCGGUGAAAUGCGUAGAUAUUAGGAGGAACACCAGUGGCGAAGGCAGCUUACUGGACAGUAACUGACGUUGAGGCUCGAAAGCGUGGGGAGCAAACAGGAUUAGAUACCCCUGUAGUC
rnacentral:rRNA from 1 species